ACAGAUCGUUCAGAGUUUGAUCCUGGCUCAGGACGAACGCUGGCGGCGUGCUUAACACAUGCAAGUCGAACGGAGUUAAGGAGCUUGCUUCUUAACUUAGUGGCGAACGGGUGGGUAACGCGUGAGGAACCUGCCUUUCAGAGGGGGACAACAGUUGGAAACGACUGCUAAUACCGCAUGAUACUUGCGAAUGGCAUCAUUUGCAAGUCAAAGAUUUAUCGCUGAAAGAUGGCCUCGCGUCUGAUUAGCUAGUUGGUGGGGUAACGGCCCACCAAGGCGACGAUCAGUAGCCGGACUGAGAGGUUGACCGGCCACAUUGGGACUGAGAUACGGCCCAG
rnacentral:rRNA from 1 species